rnacentral:sRNA from 1 species
AUUUCAACCCUCAAGCCCCAGCGGCUUGGUGUUGGGGACCGGCCCCGGCCGCCCCCCAAAUGCAGUGGCGACCUCGCCGCAGCCUCCCCUGCGUAGUAGCACAACUCGCACCGGAGCGCGGAGACGGUCACGUCGUAAAACGCCCAACUUCUCAGAGUUGACCUCGGAUCAGGUAGGAAUACCCUGUGAACUUAA